GAAGAUGUUGUCCUCGCCUCCGAAUCUGAUCAACAUGUCUUCUGUUUCACGGGAGAUGAGUGGACAGAGGAAAACGAACCAUCAGGAUCACCUUCGGUACGAGGCACCCGCCCUCAGCCCCGAGGUGGAAGAGGACGAACUUCUGGGGAACGUGAUCCGCAGCGUGGAGGCUGUGGCUCGUGACCCGGAAGUGUAUUCCUUGCAUUCGCUGAGAGUGGAUUUCGUGUGCUCUCACCACACGCACACGCGCCAAGGAGACUUGCAAUAAAUGUUAAUCAGCUUGA